rnacentral:rRNA from 1 species
AUUGAACGCUGGCGGCAUGCUUUACGCAUGCAAGUCGAACGGUAACAGGCCGCAAGGUGCUGACGAGUGGCGAACGGGUGAGUAAUGCAUCGGAACGUGCCCAGUCGUGGGGGAUAACGCAGCGAAAGCUGCGCUAAUACCGCAUACGAUCUAUGGAUGAAAGCGGGGGACCGUAAGGCCUCGCGCGAUUGGAGCGGCCGAUGUCAGAUUAGGUAGUUGGUGGGGUAAAGGCUCACCAAGCCAACGAUCUGUAGCUGGUCUGAGAGGACGACCAGCCACACUAGGACUGAGACACGGCCCAGACUCCUACGGGAGGCAGCAGUGGGGAAUUUUGGACAAUGGGCGCAAGCCUGAUCCAGCAAUGCCGCGUGCAGGAAGAAGGCCUUCGGGUUGUAAACUGCUUUUGUACGGAACGAAACGGCUCUGGUUAAUACCUGGGGCUAAUGACGGUACCGUAAGAAUAAGCACCGGCUAACUACGUGCCAGCCGCCGCGGUAAUAC